UGAGGAAUAUUGGUCAAUGGGCGGGAGCCUGAACCAGCCAAGCCGCGUGAAGGAAGAAGGCGCCAGGCGUCGUAAAACUUCUUUUUGUCGGGGAACAAAGGGCGCCACGCGUGGCGUUGUGAGUGUACCCGAAGAAAAGCAUCGGCUAACUCCGUGCC
rnacentral:rRNA from 1 species